UACGGGGGGUGCAAGCGUUAUCCGGAUUUAUUGGGUUUAAAGGGUGCGUAGGCUGUGAGGUAAGUCAGCGGUGAAAUGCCCCCGCUCAACGGGGUGAAGUGCCAUUGAUACUGCCUUGCUGGAAUGCGGAUGCCGUGGGAGGAAUGUGUGGUGUAGCGGUGAAAUGCAUAGAUAUCACACAGAACACCGAUUGCGAAGGCAUCUCACGAAUCCGCGAUUGACGCUGAUGCACGAAAGCGUGGGUAUCAAACAGG
rnacentral:rRNA from 1 species